rnacentral:rRNA from 1 species
UACGUAGGUGGCAAGCGUUGUCCGGAUUUACUGGGCGUAAAGAGCGCGCAGGCGGUCGUUCAAGUCGCGUGUGAAAGCCCCCGGCUCAACUGGGGAGGGUCACGCGAUACUGAUCGACUCGAAGGCAGGAGAGGGUAGUGGAAUUCCCGGUGUAGUGGUGAAAUGCGUAGAUAUCGGGAGGAACACCAGUGGCGAAGGCGGGUUGCUGGGCUGACACUGACGCUGAGGCGCGAAGGCUAGGGGAGCGAACGGG